rnacentral:tRNA from 1 species
UCGGUGGUGGUCUCCAGGCGCAGACGCUGGUUGGGGUACAGCGGGGUCAGCUUGCUGAACUCCGGGCGGUUCUUGGCCGCCUCGACCGGUCC